UGUUGGGGGUUGGGGCCUCUAUCUCUUUAUCUUUAUUCACUUAUCUGCAGAUAAUAAUCAUGGAAUAGCUCUAAUCUUAGUCGUUUUCCGUUUAUCGGUUUUGGAGGGAAACAUCCUGCAAGUUCGCUCACUCGCUUACCUAAGCGGAAAAAAGCGCAGCGCCGACCAACAAGAGAAGUUCAGAGAGGGAACGCGAGAACUCUACAAUAAAUCAGUUGUAACGGUGACUAGCGUCUUGGGAAUCUCCCGUUGUGGUCCACGAUGAGUCAUCAGGAAAGAUUAUUGAUCAACAAAAUGCGCGGAUGACAAACGUUAACGUUACCUGUGCCAAGAAUGAAAGGUUUUGAGGAUGACCUGCCAACGGGGGGAAAAGCUUCCCCAAUGCUCAGGAUUCACACCUGAAUCCGCUCUCAGUUCUGCACAGUCUUUGACCCAGGACAUACGUCCAAGCCAGCCUGCCUAUAGGCCUAACAAAGGGCGCUAAUUGGCGCACCCCGAACUCGGACAAAGCCGACGCCAUUCUCCAAGGUUCCUCUCCAUAAGGCACCAAGAUUUGCUGAGUCCGUGCUCCGUUUCCUUGUGCGCAAGCGCUUCCUUACCGCUAGAUACUAUCAAUUUGGAAAACAGCACUGGAGUAGUAUUUGAUUUUGGCCAUAGUUUUCAUUUUGGGAAUGAUAAGUGUUCCAGACAGUACCCGGCCUCUGCCCACGUGGCUAUAUGCAUUGCCUCUAUCUCAGGCCAUUUAAUGUUGCUUGUAAGUAAAUGUAAAUGAGAGUAAUCAGCUGAGUUUUC